UAGCAUUACUUUGUUAUAUAGGCUUGUUGUAUUAAGCAUUAUGUUAAAUAAUUUGAUGAGCUUGUAUUCAGGCUAUUAAGUCUAAUCAUAUUAGCCAUGACAUUGUUGAUAUACAUACAGUAACAUUAUAGUUUUCUUAUUUGUUGUAAACACUCAAAGCUGAUUGCUAAUAAUAAAUAGGCAUAUUAAUAUUUAAUUUGAAAAUAGUCAAUAGAAGUUAAUAAUUAAAUAACAGAUAGGCUAAAAGUGGUCCCUGAAAUUGGGGGAACCACUAUGUGAGAGGGGUUAGUUACCCAGCUUUUAGGGAUAGAGGUUAUUUGGGGUUUUAAAAGAAAAAGCAAGAAACAGUGACGGGGGAGAGAAAAAAAGAAGAAAACAUCAUAGUGAAAACUAGAAAAAACGUAAAGAGUAUAGGCAGAAAAAAUAGAACACACAGAAAGGUACCAUAAAGGAGAUAGAAGGCAACAUCUGAUCAACAACAAACAAAGAAUUAAAGGAUCAGUGGCGAUUAAUACAUUAUCAUAACAAUCACAGGUGCAUCAUUCAGGUUAGUCACUAAUCUCUUUAUAGCCACUGGUUACAUUCAAGAUAUAUAUCCCAAAAUAUACAUGUUAUUACAUAUUCAUAGACAUGUAUGUGUUUUAAUGUCAAUUCCAUGAAUGUCAUAAAACUAAAACCAUUACUCUACAUGUUCAUAAUCAUAAGCAUUCAUAAACAUCUUUCCAUGGGCUAAACUAGUAACAGUACAAACAUAUGUAUAUGUACAAAUUAUAAACUUUAAAAUUUCAUGAACACCUACUUUCCUUGUGAUGAACAAACACAAAACAGCAAACCUAAUUAAACAACAUCAUGUUAAUCCUUAAAGCAUAAUCACAAUCAUACCAAUAAUUAAGUAUAAGCAAUCUGGAAUUAUAAAUCAGUGAGUUAACUCAGAAAUAGUGUUCACUCUUUAAUUUAUCAACUAAAACACUCAUAUAAUAUCCAUCAUUAUCCCAUCUAGUAAACGUGGAAAAAAUAAAUUAAAAUAAAAAGGAGACCCCUGAAUAUAUAACCAGAGACCACUGACACCGCGUCGAUGACAACCGGAGAAGAUGAAGAAGAAUACAGAGAAAUCAAUCUGUUCCAGUGCCCCUAACCACCGCGAAAUCAGGGCGUUACAUCAAAAAAUCAUGCCGGCGUGUCAACCAGAGAAGAAGAAGGAAGGACGGUGGUUCAAGGAGCCAUCCUCAUCACCCCGCCGUUGAAGUCAUAGAGGCUUCACCUCCACGACCAAGCUACAUCUAGGCAGAGACGCACGAUCUUGCAGUCAGAUGGAUUCGAUAUCAUAAAGUCGUGACCACCACCGCAAGGGACGCCGCUCCUUCUGCCAUCUUCGUCGUCCCAUCAUCCAGCAGCUUCCCCAUCACCAAGAGAGGUGGUGGCUCAAAUGGAGGAGAAAACCACC
rnacentral:lncRNA from 1 species